rnacentral:rRNA from 1 species
GACGAACGCUGGCGGCGUGCUUAACACAUGCAGGUCGAACGGAAAGGCCCUGCUUUUGUGGGGUGCUCGAGUGGCGAACGGGUGAGUAACACGUGAGUAACCUGCCCUUGACUUUGGGAUAACUUCAGGAAACUGGGGCUAAUACCGGAUAGGAGCUCCUGCUGCAUGGUGGGGGUCGGAAAGUUUCGGCGGUUGGGGAUGGACUCGCGGCUUAUCAGCUUGUUGGUGGGGUAGUGGCUUACCAAGGCUUUGACGGGUAGCCGGCCUGAGAGGGUGACCGGCCACAUUGGGACUGAGAUACGGCCCAGACUCCUACGGGAGGCAGCAGUGGGGAAUAUUGCACAAUGGGCGGAAGCCUGAUGCAGCAACGCCGCGUGCGGGAUGACGGCCUUCGGGUUGUAAACCGCUUUCGCCUGUGACGAAGCGUGAGUGACGGUAAUGGGUAAAGAAGCACCGGCUAACUACGUG